GGGGCCGACUGGUUUUGACAGCAAGAGUAGUCGUUUAGUAAGCAUGCCGAGCGUUGAACAAUGGGCUCGUAAAUCAGGUUGUUCAAACCAUAAAAGGCGAAAAUAACUACGCCCUCGCAGCCUAAUCUCACUUUGUGAUAAAUGGCUCUAGCCCGCGGUGAAGCACAGUAACCCGGGGCGGGUGUCCCGCUGAAAGGUCGCAUCGGACUUUCGGUAUAUGGGGCAACAUCUUUCGAUGCUGGUUGAGACGAGGUUCCGACGUCUCAACGAGACUUAAGGAACUACGGAUUCAGUUGGCUGUGCGCUGCCUGCUGCUUCCCGACAAUCAAAGCGAAACUAAGCAUGUAGAAAGCUGAAUGGUUCCUUGUUUGGACGAGGGUUCGAAUCCCUCCGGCUCCACUU
rnacentral:tmRNA from 1 species